GACGGGGGAUGCAAGCGUUAUCCGGAAUCACUGGGCGUAAAGCGUCUGUAGGUGGUGAUGCAAGUGACUGGUGCAAAACUCUGGUUCAACCGGAGGAAAGCCAGUGAAACUGCAUGACUAGAGUGUGGGAGAGGUAGAAGGAAUUCCCUGAGUAGCGGUGAAAUGCGUAGAUACAGGGAAGAACACCGGAGGCGAAAGCGUUCUACAGGAACACAACUGACAAUGAGAGACGAAAGCUAGGGGAGCGAAUGGG
rnacentral:rRNA from 1 species